AAAAGGUAACACAAAUUUUGGGAAGUACAAAGGUUCUAGAUUUGAUAUUGAAGAAUAAUUUCGAUAUAUUCCCAUCCAAUCAAACAAAAUUUUUUGAUGAGUCUUAAAAUUUUUAUUAAUUUUGAUACUGAUAUACAUAUCUGUCCAGUCAUCAAUAUUUCUUUUGUUUGUAAGGUAAAAAUGAAGAAUUCUAUAAUUUAAAUAUUUUCUAUCUAGAUUUUUAUGGGUAUUAAUAAGAUAUCCUUUUUUUCAGUGUGUAUGAGUCCUUACUAUUCCCAUAAUUUAUAUAAUAAUGUGAUAAAAGAUUAUAGUGUUUUUAAAAUUUUUCUUUUUGAGUCAUCGAUAAAAUCAUUAGUUUAAAAUUUUCAUUCAUGUAAUGAAUUAAUUGGUUUUUUAUAUUUUAUAUGAAUACAAUUUUAUUGAUUCUUUAUUUUGAACAGUAUAAUGUUGAUUGACUCUAUUUCAUCAUUUUUUUCUUACUAUUCGAGAUCAUUUGGUUUGAGAUAAAUUAUAUCGAUAAUGAUCUUUGAACCGGUUUUUUCGUUCACUUGACACAGUAUUCACGUUCUUCUCAUCAGCUUGCACGCACGUCACUUCCACAUGAAAGAUGUUAAAGACAUGAGAUAAAUUUUUUGUGGAUCUUUUUGGCACUCACUUGUUAUUGAUCUAAAAAGGAGAGAAGCACUAGCUUGAGAAACCAUAGUUAAUAGAGGUAGGAUUUGUAACGCCAGCCAAUCAACAUCUAAGCUUGUAUUACAUCCAAACGUAGUACUCAAACGAAAGCAACCGAUGGAAGAAGAAGACGCCAGCCAAUCAACAUCUAAGCUUGUAUUACAUCCAGUACUCAAACGAAAGCAACCGAUGGAAGAAGAAGACUUCAGUCAAAGCUACUCUUUCCUAAAUGCUGUUAAGAUACGGAGGAUUAUACUGUUCUAUUGCGAAGAUUUUUAUAACGCUGUACGAGAUGAUUUAUCCUCAGGGCCACUAAAGGCUGCCAAUGGUAACGUAGGUAGGUCUGUGGGUAAUAAUGGGUGGUAACCUUUCUGCAAACAAGCCUUAUAUAUGAGCUCUAUAACAAUUACCUCGCCGUGGAGGAACGAAACAAGUCGACGCAUUAUUCUUCCGCCCUUUAGGUACGAUAUCUCUCUUCACUUCUAGUUUCCUUGUGGGAAUUCUGGAUUCUGGCGGAGAAACGUUGCAAUUUGUUGUUAUUUUUGUUGUCGAUCCCCUAUUCUCUUUUAGGGGAUGAAAUUUGCGCCAUUGGAUUUGGAUUCCCUGUCAAUUGCGUUCUUUUCGUUCUUUCUCGAGUUUGGUUUAUCAGAUUUGGAUUCCGGUCUCUCAUCAAUUUUUUCUACCAAUCUUUUACCUGACCAGAACAGCUAUGCUAAAUUAGAGAGGCAGCAUAGGGCAUAAUUCAUUUCCUUGCAUUAGGGGUUUAUAUUGUAGUCAAGCCUGGCUUCUGCAAGAGGAUUGAUCAAAGAUCAAGCUUUGUGUCAAAGGUUUGAUCAAACCAUCAAAUUCUAGUUUGGAAUAGACCUUAUUGUAACUCAAGAACCAGAACAAUGAGAUAAAGAUUGGCUAUGCAUUAAAUAUGAUGAUUGGAUAUUUUCACCAUUCAUUGUUCCCAUUUAAACGGGUAAAAGAUAUCACUUUGUCAGUUGUUGGGAGUAUGAGAUGAAUUUUUUCAACUAUUAUUGAGAGAAUAUAAUACUCAUCUCCGGAGAAAUAUCUCUUCAUCCGCCAUCGUAUACCAUCGGGUUUUCAAUGUAUGCUUAUAUUAGUUGACGAUUAUAUAUGUGAUCGAGAUAUAUUGUAUAUAAUCGAUAUAUAAUUUUAUUUAUUAAAUAAAAAUUAUUAUUGUUUAUAAUGGUUCAUAAAUUUGUAUUUGACAUAUGAGUUUCAAGCAUAUUUGAUUUAUUAUCAUAUCAUAUGAAAAUAUAAAUAUGUAAUAUAUAUUAUUUUAUAUUUAUUUUCAGAUCAACCUACUUGAAUAAAGGAAAGAUUUUUUAGCACGGCCAAGAAACUUUAGUUUAUAAAUUAUAUUAUUGUAAGUACAUGAAUUUUAAAUUUAAUGAAAUUUUUUCCUCUGUAAUUAUGGAUUUCAAGUGAUGAUUUAUUUAUGAUAAUUGGCUUGUGAUAGAAGAAGAGAAGGAUUUAGCCACAGAGAGAAGAAAUGGCAGCGGAGAAGUGGCAUUACAAUGUGGUGUCGUUGCUCUCCGGAACGGAGAGGGACUUUCUCAUCCGUAACAAUGGCGAGAAGGUACUCGAAAGUCUUCCGUCAAUUACUAAUAAUUGUUGAGCUUCAUGCUUACCUUAGAAAGUUAGGAUCUCGUGAGACUUGCCUAUCAAUCUAUUGCUACAGAAACUUAGAAACUUGUCGAAUUUGCCUAUCAAUCUAAGCUAGCCUCGAUUUAGUAGAUUUUGUUCGAAGCAACAACUAGUCUUCCAUGCUCGUCGGACAGUCUUUUUUGCCUUUGAGAUCUCCACCAUGUCAAAUGGAUGCUCUGUCUUCGUCAAGUGCAGAGAGAGAGCAUUUUUUGAUCCGUGGUAAGGGACAUAAAGCAAUAGGAUGCAUCAAAGCCUGACGGGUUGAGUUUUGGAUGAGAGAUUAAGAGAGGCGUAGGAGGGAAGGAAAAGGAGGAGGAUAAGAUGAGGCGAAUUGCAUAUUGCUAAAAUGCUAAUCUUUCCCUAUUUGAAGUAUGGAAAAUGCAUGGCAACUUUAGUUUCUCACUGACAAGCUGUGAUUUGUUCAGGUAGCCAUCAGCAGCCUUGACGGGAAAAAGUUUGGUCUCUUCUUGUCGGACAUCUGUUACGAAAGAAUCGUCACUGAUGAUCUGAUCAAAGUAUACAAUCAACUGUCCUCGGAGGGCCGCGAUUUCGAGAUUGUCUUCGUGUCAUGUGAUUCAUGCGUGGAGACCUUCAAUAGGUACUUCUCAGAUAUGCCAUGGUUGGCAGUCUCAUUUGCGGACUCCGACACACGCGAAAGGCUACAUGAUCAUUUCGGCAGUUUCGAGGAGUAUUAUCCCGCUCAGCUUGUCAUCUAUGAUGCCGCUAUUGGCAUGGUCGUUAACGAAGAAGGUCUCCGAGCUGUGGCAAAAUAUGGUGUAAACGGGUAUCCAUUUACUGUUAACAGGUUCUACGAGUUGGAGGCGGCUGCUAAGAAGGAACAGAGUCUUCGAAGUCCGUUGGUUUCGCCGUCCCGGGACUACUUGAUCUCCAAUGAUGGAUCCAAGGUAAUCGAUGAUCUCCUUGUAGGAAGAGAAUUAAACUACAUUCUUGAUCCACCAGCUUACUACCACCAUCUAAUCUAUGCUAAAUUGAAGCAGGUUGCCGUGUCGGAUCUCGAAGGAAAGAUUGUGGCCUUUUACUUCUGGUUUAAUAUUCCUGAUAAAUACGGCGGUCCCCAUAAGUUGACUCUGGUGCUGGCUGAAAUCUAUAGGAAGCUUAAGGAAGCCGGGGAGAGCUUCGAAGUUGUGCUGGUGCCAUUAGAUGAUAAUAAAUCAUCCUAUGAACAAGGCCUGGCAAGCAUGCCAUGGCUCGCGAUUCCUUUCGAAGACGAGGGUUGUGAGAAGCUUGUCCGCUACUUUGAGCUCUGGCCCUUCCAUUUACCAAUCGUGCUUUCGAAGACGAGGGGUUGGCUGAGUUGUGUUGAUCUUUGUUGAUUCCUGCGGAUCCCCCAGAUGAAGGAAAAGACCAUCCUUACUGCGCCAGUCUCUUAGAAAUUCCACAUGCUGCUUGAACUGGGUGGAUGCUUGUUGGAGCUUUAACGAGCAUCGUCUCGCAAACUUCUGAAGUUUUGGGUCCUUCCUCCACAAAAUCUGCUCAUUGACUCUUCUUUCAGUUAGUUGUCACAUCCAAGUAGGUUCGCAUCACUUCCGCUUUUGAUUGACAUUUCGUUGGGAAAUGAAGCGGACAAUCUACUCUCAGUAGCACUGAUCACCGUUGGUGAGGAUUUGACAACUAUUGUCUUCCAUUAUCUUCGAAGGGUCUUUGAACUUGUGCAGAGCUCCUCUGCUGGAUAGAUAAGAGAACUGGGGUACUCGGUUUCGCCCAUUCUCUUGAAAGUUGAGAAGGCAAAGGUUACUUGACUUCGCCCGCCUCCUCGAGGUUGUACUUCAUGCAUCGAGCUGGUUACUGGCCUUCGCCUGCUCUUUGCUCACACUUCUGAAGCACUUGAAGUGUUUGCACUCCUUGCGUUGAGUUAGCUACUGUGAUUCACCUUCUCAAUGCCAUUGAACUUCUGGAAUGCAGGAAGUUUUCACCCCAACUUGGAAUAAUUUUCUGAUAGAUGAGGUCGCCUCUGGGAUUGUACCGUCUUCUCCAUCAACCCUGCCGCCUACUCCAUUGAGUAGCAAAGGUACAACACCGCGUACUGCCUGCUUCGUUCCUUGGUCGUGCACUCUUGCAUGACCCGAAGUCCUUCACUUACGGCUAUCUUGAUGAGAAACUUGUUGACACCGGUCUUACGAAGUUUCUUGGCCUCUGCCCUUCAGCCUUGUCUCGGUACUUGGAGAUUGCCUCUGCAUGCUCCACCUCCUCGGCCCCUUUCACGACCAAGCGCUCUCCCUCCAUGAGAGCAAGGGAUCAAUGACUUUCACGGAAGUCCCGCCUCUGCGGUACUAUGGCGCUGCCAUGCCCAUGGCACUACUAUCCGUCGCCUCGCCUCUGAAUCCCUUUUCCUCACAAUCAGUAGAUAUGUCUCCGUGGCACUCCUCUGAGUCCACCUCCAUUUUAACUGAUGCUUGCUUUUGGGUAGCUAAGUCCCUCUGGACUCGUCGUCGCUUCCUCGCCCCUUUCGACCCCCUGCUUCAACACCUCUGUGUUCUCCAAGCAGACUGUUUGGUCGAUGGAAAGACAGACUGCAACUCCCAUGCAUGGCCUCUGCCAUCGCGUUGUAGGGUUUGCACCGAUUCUGUUCUCCUUAGCUUCCUUGGUAGCAAUGUUCGCUUACUCGACUUUGUCCUCUGACUUGUCGGGCUCCCUUAAGCGAAUAUGAGCUCUGGAGCAGUCCAACUCUCCAGCUGCUUCAAUCAUACCUCUGCAUGAUCAAGUCCCUCCGUUGGGACUCACUAGUACUUGCAUUCGAACUUCUCCCUUGGUGGAACACAGCCCCCAUAUGCUGAUGACCAAGGCUUUCAUCCGAUGCAAAAUUCGGUGCACGCCCGGAAGACCCGCCUCUGCGGUACCAUGGCCUUCACUCCUUGAAUCCAUAGCCCUUCUUGCCGUUGUGUUGUUCACCGAAGUGGAGCUUCCAGUAACUCCCGAUCAUACCUCCAUAUGAUCUCAUCCCUCAUGGGACUUCCGUGUGUAUCGCAUUGCCACGAACUGUUCCACCACGAUCCACUGCACCAUGUCGCCUCCUGGUGACAUCUCCAUUGCAUUCUGAUCCUUGUGGAAUAAACUCGAAUUGUGAACCCUCCAUGUGUGGCCUCUUGCCAAUACAUUGCAGGGUCUCUUCCACCUUCGAUUUUGUUCGCUCCUUUGGCAAUCGACCUUCAUCCACCCACUCUUGGGUCACACCUAGAUGAAGCACCGCUCUAGGACAGUCCGUCGCCUAGUAGCUCCCGAAGUCCACCGACUUCACUGUAGUUUGUGCACCAUUGUCUGGAUCCUGGGCCUCUGCCCCUACCAGCACAAUCUCCGCUGCGCACCGCUUCCUUCAUGCAACUUGAAUGGCAACACUGUGGCAUAUUCUUCAAGAGUACUCGCCUCUGCGUCCUCUUGCCCCGUGCUAAGGCCAUCUGAACCCAACUUCGCCUCCGCAAAUUGAGUCGCCUUAGUUCCUCCAUCAAAUGCUCCUCCGAGAUAAGGUGUAUGUGCCUAGAAGCUUCCUUCAUCUUUGGCACCAUGCAAGAUGAGUCCGCUCCGUCAGAAAGGACCCAUGGAACAACAUGAUUCUACUCUUGCCUUUGCGAGAGUUCAUGUCCUUGACCUCUGUCUAAGGAAAGCACUGCGCCUCCGCUCCAUGUUCCAACUUCUCUGCUGGCUCCCUUCAUGCGGCUUGGGUACUUCGCCAAGUUACACCCAAGUUGCUCCGCUCCUCGUUUUUGCAUUGAGUCGAUGGUGGCCCUCGCGCCCACCAUUCCACGGGUCAGCCCUCCUUUGAGUCCGAUCUCCAUAUCGACUCUAAGUGUGCCUUCAUUUAAGUUGCUUCAGGUCGCUCCCCCACUUGAUCUCGCAAUGCAUCCACCAAUGCAUUCUCUCGAGCGAGAUCAUGCGACAACUCCUCGCUGCUUGCUCGAUCCAUUGAGCUUCGUGGAGUUGUUGUUUGUGAGGUACUCCUCCUCAACAUGUGAGGUCCGUCUCACAUGAUUCUCCCUCUGGAGAGCCGAGACUUAUCCCUCCUGGAUAACUGUCCCGUUGGAGCAACAUCUCUCUUCGUUUAUGAGAUCACCAUCCCCUUAGACUACUCCGAUCUGCUGAACAAACUGUGCAUUGUUCUGCCUCCUGCAAACGCACUUGCUAGAUUGCGCCUCCACGUCAAUACAGCCACCGCUGCACCCCUCAAGGCCUAGAAACAUGCUGAACUCGUUGCACACUUCAGUCUCCUCCGGACGUAUCCUUCGCAUGCCGAAGAGAAAGUUUUUAAUGCUCCAUGGCGUCGAGUCUCGGCCGCCUUGGGAUGGCCACAAACAUUCCAUCGUCCGCAUACAGGCCCAUGCAUGAGUACCAAAUUCUUCGAGUUAGCAAUUCCCCUCACCUCUGUGAGCUUUGCAUAACUCUUUUGGUCGUUGAGCAACUCAUUCCACCUUGCAUAGUCUCAUUCUUGCUAAGCGCCUCGCUUGCCUAGAGCACCAUCAAGUAUAGUUGUCAACGUUGAGCCGUAGCUCAAACUCAGCCAUCCCAACCUUUGUGCGCUCCGCAUUCUUCCAAGCUUGCCUGUUCUCGUGGUGCCUCUUGCGCGAAGGGUUGGCCAUUCCUCUGAAUGCCAAUGUUAGAUGCCCGCUCCUCUGAGCAACUCUUUUCCUUACAUCUUCAUGCCCGUUUUCCCUCAAAUGGUCGCGCGUUGCUGACUGCCCUCAACGCAGCCCCGCUAGGUCCCCCACGUUUGCAUGUCAAGUGUUUCUAUGAGUGCUUGUCCCGCUCUGAUACCAUCUGUCACGGACUUAGCUGGUUUUGCCUAAGUCGUGCGGCACCCUUGCGUGUCUGUCCGCAAAGGUCAGCCUCCCCGAAGCCUCCCCCUCGUCCCUUAGGACCAACAAAAGAGAGAACAGGUUAAAGAGAACGCCUCAAUCGAGAUCCACAAGCAAACAUCUCCGAAAAACACUUCAUAGACAAUGCAAAUUACAAACAGACUUUACAAGCUUUGAAUAGUUGCACAACAAAGGGUAAAAUGGUCCAUUACAGACCGAAAAGCUCUCGCGCGUGUCCACAUGACACAACCUUUAUUUACAAGCCUAAAGAGACCACCAACCCAACAAAAAUGGGACUAUCAAGCCUUCGGCCGCCCCUCUACAUGCUGUACAAGGCAUGGACAUGCCAAAAGACACGGACAUUCAUAAGCAUUACACCAAACAUCCUGUUUCGAAGUUUGUCCGUGAUAGUUCGGUGAUGAGAGGAAGAAAUCUUUGAAACGCACUUUCCAAGUCAAUAUCCUCUACCCCUCCUUGGUUGCCAUUGGUCCUACAGGUCGAACUAGCACAAGGAAUGCCAUGCAUUCGUUGGCGACCCAUGGAGCCGAUGCCUACCCGUUCAGCGAAGAGAGGAUCAAGGAGUUGGACCAGAAGAUAGACGAGAUGGCAAAGGGAUGGCCUGAGAAGAGGAAGCAUGAGCAACACAAGCAUGGGAAGUUGGAGUGGAGCUGCCUGCGCGGCCUGUAUAUGUGUCGUGACUGCCACAAGAUUGGAAGUGGAUGGUGCUACUUGUGCUCCAUGUGCGGUUUCGGUCUCCACCCCAAAUGUGCACCGAAGGAGGAGAAAACGGAAGAGGAAGAACAUGAUGAAGGAUCUGAGUGUGAUGGAGAGGUUUACAACGAUUUCGAAGAUUCUGAAGAUUCUAAAGAUUCCGAAGAUUCUGAGGUUUCUGAAGAUUCUGAAUAAGAAUAUGUAAUGCAAUGGUGUUUGUGUUUUGAUGGGAAGAGCUCGAUGCAAUGAAAGUAGCGGCAUUAUGACAGUCAUAUCCGUAAAAAUAUGAUGAAAAUCUUUUCUUAUUUGCUCCAUAUGAUCAAUCAAGCUUCAUAAUAACAACACCAAUUCAACAAACAUAUUUGAGCCACAAAGACCAAAAAAUAAGAAUGUAUAAUUCAUGGCAACAAAGACGAGAAAAAAUCAGCAGUGCUUCCGUAACUAUGUAUCUGUAAUGAUUGCUCUUCUCUUCCACCAGUAUGCAGAGUAUAAGAAAAAGUGUAUGGUGUAUCCUCUCGUCUCUUCCCGAUUGGAUAUAGCUACAAUGUGUAAAUAUAUUCAUACGUGAUGCGGUGCACUCAGAAGGUGUUAAUGCAAUGCACUCAAAACUGCAAUGCAUCGGACCGGUUCUGUAGUUAUGUUUGUUUCUUUUAAUGUACUCCAAAAUGCAAUGCACUCAGUCUUUUAAUGUACUCCAAAAUGCAAUGCACUCAGAAGACAAACGAACGGAUGAUCUACCAAAGUAAAUGCACAAGAUAAUUAAUUUACUUGUUCAAUGAGAAGUAUUUAAAUUGACACAUGAUUUCAAUUGUUUUGGAUGUCAACCAUGAUUUCUUAUAUUUGAUAUAUCAGGAAAUUGGGAAGCGAGGAAAUACAAUCUCAGGGAAAUACAUUUUCUUUUAAUAGAAACUUUAUAGUUGAUAAAUUGCUUUCCUAAUUUGUUGACGUAGAUAUGAACCUGAUACAACUGCUGCUUCCCCGAUUUUUUGUUGCACUGGAUUGCUGGUUUAUACCCUAUGUCCCUUCUGAGGAUAUCGAAGAUACGAUUCUUUUCAUACAUGCGGUUAUUAGGAAAAAUACCUUCCGCCUUUAGACAAGAGAGAAUAUCAAUUUUUUUCUUGAGGUUGAGGGCUGCUGUGAAGUAAGAAACUUGAUCGAACCUAGAUAAGGAACAUGUGCCGUGCUUAUCCCAUUCAUGUUGCCAGAACGAGUGGCCAUUGCUACUGGGACAGCGAAAACUGUGCCAGUGUUGAAUCAUCUCGCCAAUCAAAGGGUCCAUCUGCAAUCGAAGACAAAGAUAAAAAAAAAACGAUGAACGACUCACACUCUCAUUUUGCAAGGUACCUUUACGAUAGAGUAGUCUGUGUCAGAGCCGAAUAUACUUUACGUCAGUUGUAUUUAGAAGCUGACGGCAUAUUCUUGUCACAAGAUGGAAACAUUCCAUUGCGAAAAGCGGGCCAAAGGUCAUGGAUGGUAAAAAUUUUUUCCGGAUACCCCGUACUCAUAGGACAGCAACGGUUGACGUUGCAAAAUGAUCUGGGCCACUAGAUGUUUCAAAUCAAACGAUCAAUAUAGAGAAGAACAACAAGAUACAAAAAAAAUUAGACUUACCUGAAGAACCAAGUGAAAAUAAUCAUAAUUGGACGCAACAGUGGUGGAGAAAUCAGCAAGAAAGCAAUGGUGGAGAAAACCAGCUAAUUAAUAUUGUCUGACUUUUUAUUCAUAUUGUCAAUUUUGAACUGGAUGCCUGUUAGUUCUUCGAUGUAUCUAGCAUGAAUGACAUCUUUUUUUAUCUUAAUAUGUGCAUCCUGAAUGAUCCAGAUUAGAUGGUCUCUUUUGGUCAUUAAUUUUGAUUUUCAGUGCUAUAAUGAUCUUCUAUCAUAAAUAUCAUUCUUUAUUUGCUUGUGUACAAGCGUAGCUACUUUAUCAUGGAUGUAACUUUUUGUUCAGAGUAGCAUACUGUUAGCAACUAGCUUCAUCAACUUGGACUCCUUUCAAGUCCUUGGAUUCCCAUGAGGAAGGUGUUGACAAUAUUCAUUGGAUUUGGUGGAAAAAAAUCAUUAGUUGAUUGACUCAAUGCCUUGACCAUAAAAUCACUUGUCAGUUUACAUCUGCUCCUUUAAACUAGUUGAUUAAGAAUAAAACAAAGAAAGAGAAAAACUAUUCUAUAUUGGAUUCAGUGAUAAUCUUCUUUUUGUGUUGAAAGGCAAAAUCAAUGUAGUGAUCUGAAGUAAUUUUUAGUUUUUGUUCAAACCGAUAAAUGAAAAGUUAUAUGCCACUUAUUGAUGCUUCUCUAAUGGGGUAUUAUGAUUAUCCUGCCUACUGGCUUAGGUUUCUGAUUAGAUACAGGUUAUUAUGAAGAAGUCUGGUAGGUGUCCUUUUUGCCUUAAAGAUCUCAGUGGUUUACCACAUAGGAUCCUGGUCAACUACCUCUCUUUGCAUGUUUGUGAUAUUAUAAUUUAUAUAGUUUUGCUUCGUGUUUUCUGUCCAAAUUUGUGAGAGAUGGCUUAGUUUUGUUUGUGACUUUUAAAGGCAGACUAGUCUCUAAACUUAUGCAUCUUCCAGGGGCUUUGCCAUACAAUAAUUUUAAUUGUUGACUUGACAGUUCCACUGGUGAUCAUAUUUGCUUGUAAAUGAUGAUUCAAGUUUUACCAAGCUAUCUUUAUAAGCACAAAAGGCUAAUUAAGCUGAAAUCUCUGAGAAAUUAGUCAGUGAAUUGGAAGUAUUAUGUCAUAAAUUUCUUGGUAGUUGUCUUUUAACUAAUAUAUAAUAUGCUAGAUUGAGAUUCCAUAAUAAGUAUCUAGGUGAUGUUUGUUUGAUUUGAUGAACCCUAGCAUUUUUAAAAGUUGAGUCAAAUGAUGUUGAACAUUCUUUCUUAGUUUCUUGUUUUUGACUUGAUAGUUCUAUACUUGUUCUUUCAGUAAAUGUUGCUUUAUUUUUUGUGAUGUUUAGUUUUAGAGCAUAGCUUCUUAGUGUCAACCACAACAAGAAUCAUGUGAUGUUACAGGAAAUUUGGUUUUCAUGGUUUCAACCUUCUACAAAAGUAGAUAUGUUCUAGAAUAACCAAAUAUGGUAAAUGACUCCCUUAAAUUCUUAGCAUCAUAAUUGAUCCUAAAUUUCUUCUGACAACGUGUUGGCUUCAAUAUUCAUGUAUGUAAAUUUCUUGGGACAGAAGAUUGACAUAUUAUGUAUUGCAUUUUGCUCACUUGUAAAUCUACCAUUGUUACUAAUAUAAAGCACAGUAUGUAACAAGCAAGUAGGUAAUUUCAUAGUUGAAAGGCAGAUCCCACAAUUGAGGUGCUCUCCAACCUAGAAGUCACGGUACGCCAUGAAGUACAGGCAUUGCGACGGGAAGCUGGUCCUCAAGGUCACAGACAAUCGCGAGCCGUGGAGGAACGUCGAUCUCUCUCUCUUCUCCUCCUUGUGCAAUCUUCUGCCCUUUAGAGGUUCUGAAAUUUGCGCCAUUGGAUUUGGAUUCCCUGUCAAUUGCGUUCUUUUCGUUCUUUCUCGAGUUUGGUUUAUCAGAUUUUUCAGAAACUCUAUCCUGCACUCAGCUAGGUCCCACGAUGAAAUCUUUGAUUGUGUUUAUUAUGUAUUGCUGCAUUGUAGUAAAAUUUCUGUUGGAUCAUAUUCACAAUGUUAUGGUUUGCACCUAUUGUGUGGAUAAUGUACUUUUUACUAUUAUACAUGAAACAAUUGGCUUAAAUCA